rnacentral:rRNA from 1 species
UGGGGGAUAUUGCACAAUAGGCGAAAGCCUGAUGCAGCGACGCCGCGUGGGGGAUGAAGGCUUUCGGGUUGUAAACCUCUUUCGCUAUCGAACAAGGCCCGCCUAGGGUGGGUUGAGGGUAGGUGGAGAAGAAGCGCCGGCUAACUACGUGCUAGCAGCCGCGGUAAUACGUAGGGCGCGAGCGUUGUCCGGUAUUAUUGGGCGUAAAGGGCUUGUAGGUGGCUUGUUGCGCCUGCAGUGAAAACGCGGGGCUUAACUUCGCGCGUGCAGUGGGUACGGGCAGGCUUGAGUGAGGUAGGGGUGAGUGAAAUUCCAGGGGUGGCGGUGGGAGGCGCAGAUAUCUGGAGGAACACCGAUGGCGAAGGCAGGUCACUGGGCCAUUACUGACGCUGAGGAGCGAAAGCAUGGGUAGCGAGCAGG